UAUGCGCACAUGCACAUACUCCUUCGAACCAGCACCGGAGUCGUCAGCAUUUGCAUCAGCAAAGGGGUCAAAUGCUGCAGGGAUCUGGUUGUCAAGUUCAGACAUGAACUCUAGAGUACUAACGGGUGAAGAAAGAACGCUUUCCGGCUUUUGUAAAGCUGAUCGAGGGGCGAGGGCUGCGGUUCUGAGUGCUGGAUCGUUUCAGAGCGGUGCCCUAGCCCUUGAUCGGCAGAAGAAGGGGAAGAUCG
rnacentral:misc_RNA from 1 species